GCCCGCCCGCUCCGCCCUGCUGCGCCCUCGGGGAAACUGGUGAAACAAGUUUCGCUAAAAGAAAAAGUCUCUGGCCGGACCGGAAGUCACCCUCACGUCCCAUUCCUGUCAGGCACAGAUCCAGGAGACUAACUGGUAAGAAUUCUUACCUUGUGCUGGCUGUGUCAGAGAUCCCAGGAUCUCUCAGCUGCAGUGGCCCUGGAGUGAGCAGUGUACAACCAGUGACAUCCCAUCCUUGUCAGCAGAACUGUAGAGAUGUAAGAGAAUAUAUGUUUUUCUGGAACAAAAACGAUGCCGUGAAAAUUAAACAGAACCAGAAACAGCUCUUAGAAAUUAAAAAUAUGAUGGAAGAAAUGAAAUACUUAAUAAAAGAGUUGGAUGAUAAAAGAACACCCCAGAAAACAUUAAAAAUACAAAGAAAAGAUAAGGAAAUUAGAGGAGUAGUCCAGGAGUUAUGACAUUUGAGAAACAGAAGUUCAGAAUGUGAAAAUGGAAAACAGAAGACAGGAAAUCAGUCAUAAGGCAGAUUUGCCUUGCCUUAGGGGCUUUCCCUGAGAAGCCUAGGACUCUGGCUCACACUGUGGUGGCUGUACUUACCCACUUUCUUCUGAAAUUUGGCAAAGAAAUACUAAAAGAUGCUCCAGUGGAUGAAUCUGGGUACCAAACAUAUUUCUUCCUGCUCCCACGGUUCUUUAGGCUGUAAUCACUGCAUUCCUGGGAUCUCAUUCAAUGUUGGCUCGCUCCUGCCUUCUAUACAGCCACUAGCACAUAAG